UACGAAGGGGGCUAGCGUUGCUCGGAAUCACUGGGCGUAAAGGGUGCGUAGGCGGGUCUUUAAGUCAGGGGUGAAAUCCUGGAGCUCAACUCCAGAACUGCCUUUGAUUCUGAAGAUCUUGAGUUCGGGAGAGGUGAGUGGAGCUGCGAGUGUAGAGGUGAAAUUCGUAGAUAUUCGCAAGAACACCAGUGGCGAAGGCGGCUCACUGGCCCGAUACUGACGCUGAGGCACGAAAGCGUGGGGAGCAAACAGG
rnacentral:rRNA from 1 species